rnacentral:tRNA from 1 species
GAGGGCAUAGCUCAGUGGGAGAGUGCGUGCUUAGCAAGCAUAAGGUCCUGGGCUCAAUCCCCAGUACCUCCA